rnacentral:lncRNA from 1 species
CUAUGUAUGUGUUUGGUCAUGGGACUUAAGCCAUCGACUCAAACUAUGAUUAUGUUUGUCAAGGGGCUCCCCGGUCUCUGGCAUAUGUUUGCAAGUAUGAUAAUGUGAUCACAUAUGUGACGUAUGUGGAUAUUUGUUAUGUUCCUCACUGAGUAUAUUUUCAAUAUGCUCACCCCUUAUCUUUUCAGUUUUGCAGUUCUGGAGUUGAGGCGGCCAUGGA